CCAGAGAUGGCCGCUGCGUGAAGGGAACGUUCUGAGUACUUGCGACAAACUUCUACGAGCAGAAUGCCGGCGAUCGGUGUUAUUUACCCUCCGCCGGAGGUGAGAAAUAUUGUUGACAAGACUGCGAGCUUUGUUGCUAGAAACGGACCGGAAUUUGAAUCACGAAUCAGACAGAAUGAAAUAAACAAUCCUAAAUUUAAUUUCCUGAAUCCUGGAGAUCCCUACCACGCGUACUUCCAACAAAAAGUUACAGAGAUUAAAGAGCAGGAUGACAAAG